rnacentral:rRNA from 1 species
UGGGGAAUUUUGGACAAUGGGGGCAACCCUGAUCCAGCAAUGCCGCGUGUGUGAAGAAGGCCUUCGGGUUGUAAAGCACUUUUGUCCGGAAAGAAAACGCCGUGGUUAAUACCCGUGGCGGAUGACGGUACCGGAAGAAUAAGCACCGGCUAACUACGUGCCAGCAGCCGCGGUAAUACGUAGGGUGCAAGCGUUAAUCGGAAUUACUGGGCGUAAAGCGUGCGCAGGCGGUCCGCUAAGACAGAUGUGAAAUCCCCGGGCUUAACCUGGGAACUGCAUUUGUGACUGGCGGGCUAGAGUAUGGCAGAGGGGGGUAGAAUUCCACNGUGUACGGCAGAUGGCAAAGUGCAGUAGAUGGAUGGUAGGAGGAACUGAGCCGAAUGGCGAAGGCCCAGGCCCCCAUGGCCAAUACUGACGCUCAUGCACGAAAGCCGUGGGGGAGC